AUUAAUUUCCAUCCUAAGAUGGUCCAAUUAUGUAUAUUAAUUCAUAAUAUAAUUAAUUUUAAGUUAUAUCCAAUUUAAUUUGGGCUAAAUAAAUUAUUAUUAAUUAAUUAUGGAAAAAGUGGUCCAGUUGAACCGAAUCGAUUGAACUGAACUGGCCAAGGAUUGGGCAGUCCAAAACCGUCCAUAUGCUGACCUGAAUCAGCUUAUUAGCUGAUUAAUUAAGCUUUCAAAGAAGCCCUUGAAGACUUGUCAAAGUUGCAUUCAA
rnacentral:lncRNA from 1 species